CCAGACUCCUACGGGAGGCAGCAGUGAGGAAUAUUGGUCAAUGGGCGGGAGCCUGAACCAGCCAAGCCGCGUGAGGGAAGAAGGUACAGCGUAUCGUAAACCUCUUUUGUCAGGGAACAAAGGCGGGGACUAGUCCCCGGAUGAGGGUACCUGAAGAAAAAGCAUCGGCUAACUCCGUGCCAGCAGCCGCGGUAAUACGGAGGAUGCGAGCGUUAUCCGGAUUUAUUGGGUUUAAAGGGUGCGUAGGCGGAAUGCCAGGUCAGCGGUAAAAUCGCGGGGCUCAACCUCGCUCCGCCGUUGAAACUGGCGGGCUGGAGUUGGAGAGAAGUACGCGGAAUGCGCGGUGUAGCGGUGAAAUGCUUAGAUAUCGCGCAGAACCCCGAUUGCGAAGGCAGCGUACCGGCUCCACACUGACGCUGAGGCACGAAAGCGUGGGUAUCGAACAGGAUUAGAUACCCGUGUA
rnacentral:rRNA from 1 species